rnacentral:rRNA from 1 species
GACAGAGGAGCCAAGCGUUGUCCGGAUUGACUGGGCGUAAAGCGCACGCAGGCGGAUGCGCGCGUGGGGUGUGAAGUCUGGCCGCUUAACGGCCAGGCGCCAUCCCAUACGGCGCGUCUGGAGUGAUGCAGAGGUCGAUGGAAUUGCCGGUGUAGUGGUGAAAUGCGUAGAGAUCGGCAGGAACACCCAGGGGGAAACCAGUCGACUGGGCAUCUACUGACGCUGAGGUGUGAGAGCGUGGGGAGCGAACCGG